rnacentral:rRNA from 1 species
CGGACGGGUGAGUAAUGUAUGGGGAUCUGCCUGAUGGCGGGGGAUAACUACUGGAAACGGUAGCUAAUACCGCAUAAUGUCUGCGGACCAAAGCGGGGGGACCUCCGGGCCUCGCGCCAUCAGAUGAACCCAUAUGGGAUUAGCUAGUAGGUAAGGUAACGGCUUACCUAGGCGACGAUCCCUAGCUGGUCUGAGAGGAUGACCAGCCACACUGGAACUGAGACACGGUCCAG